AGGAUUCCCCUAGUAACUGCGAGUGAAGCGGGAAAAGCUCAAAUUUAAAAUCUGGCGGUCUUUGGCCGUCCGAGUUGUAGUCUGGAGAAGUGCUUUCCGCGCUGGACCGUGUAUAAGUCUCUUGGAACAGAGCGUCAUAGAGGGUGAGAAUCCCGUCUUUGACACGGACUACCAGUGCUUUGUGAUGCGCUCUCAAAGAGUCGAGUUGUUUGGGAAUGCAGCUCAAAAUGGGUGGUAAAUUCCAUCUAAAGCUAAAUAUUGGCGAGAGACCGAUAGCGAACAAGUACCGUGAGGGAAAGAUGAAAAGCACUUUGGAAAGAGAGUUAAACAGUACGUGAAAUUGCUGAAAGGGAAACGCUUGAAGUCAGUCGCGUCUGCCGGAACUCAGCCUUGCUUUUGCUUGGUGCAUUUUCCGGUUGACGGGCCAGCAUCGAUUUUGACCGUCGGAAAAGGGCUAGGGAAAUGUGGCACCUUCGGGUGUGUUAUAGUCUCUAGUCGCAUACGGCGGUUGGGAUCGAGGACCGCAGCGCGCCGCAAGGCAGGGGUUCGCCCACUUUCGCGCUUAGGAUGCUGGCAUAAUGGCUUUAAACGACCCGUCUUGAAACACGGACCAAGGAGUCUAACAAACCUGCGAGUGUUUGGGUGGUAAACCCGAGCGCGUAAUGAAAGUGAAAGUUGAGACCUCUGUCGUGGAGGGCAUCGACGCCCGGACCUGACGUUCUCUGAAGGAUCCGCGGUAGAGCAUGUUUGUUGGGACCCGAAAGAUGGUGAACUAUGCCUGAAUAGGGUGAAGCCAGAGGAAACUCUGGUGGAGGCUCGUAGCGAUUCUGACGUGCAAAUCGAUCGUCAAAUUUGGGUAUAGGGGCGAAAGACUAAUCGAACCAUCUAGUAGCUGGUUCC
rnacentral:rRNA from 1 species